GUCCAGCUGCCUGGGAGAGGCAGGGUACCACAGAGGAGCUGGCAUCCCGAGAAAGGGUGAGUGUUGACUGCCACCACCGUCCCACCCUGGGGAACAGGCCUUUUGGCUGUGGGUGGGAGGUAGGCGAGGGCUGCAGGAGGGUGAUAAGGCCUUUUCCUCGAGUGGGACCAGAUCAGCCCACAGCAGAACAGGUUCUCCCAGAAGAGAAGGGAGAGCACAUGCCCAGGCUCCAUGGACUUCCGGUUCUCCCCUCCCUUCGCACCCCCACAAUGAGGUCACGACGGGAUGCCACCACCAGCUGGUCCCUUCCAGAGCUCUGUCUGAACUCCACCAGCCUUGCUUCUGGCCUCAUCCUGCAGACCCAGGGGACACCUCCACUUGCAAGUUCAGUCCAUGGGCACUGCACACUCUCUCGGCCCCAAGUUGAACCCCUUUUCCUCACCCAACAUCCUCCAUUUCAACAAAUGGCAGCGUUGUGGGUAAAAUAACACCUCCUUCAGAGACAUUGACAUCCUCAUCCCUGACUUCGG
rnacentral:lncRNA from 10 species